GCUAAAACUUACUACCGAAGCUACGGCAUCAGUAAUGAUGGGUAGGGGAGCUUCCCAUACAGGUUGAAGCAUGACCGUAAGGACAUGUGGACAGUAUGGGAGUGAGAAUGUUGGCAUGAGUAGCGAGAUGUGGGUGAGAAUCCCACAGGCCGUAAACCCAAGGUUUCCAGGGGAAGGUUCGUCCGCCCUGGGUUAGUCGGGACCUAAGCUGAGGCCGAAAGGCGUAGGUGAUGGACAACAGGUUGAUAUUCCUGUACUACCGAUAACCGUUUGAGAGAAGGGAUGACACAGUAGGAUAAGUUAAGCACACUGUUGGUUAUGUGUGCCCAAGCAUUGAGGCAGUCAAAGCAGGCAAAUCCGCUUUGAUAAUGCUGGGAUGUGAUGGGGAGCGAAAUUUAGUAGCGAAGUAGCUGAUUUCACACUGUCAAGAAAAGUCUCUAUCGAGGUUAAAGGUACCCGUACCGCAAACCGACACAGGUGGGUGAGGAGAGUAUCCUAAGGCCAGCGAGAGAACUGUUGUUAAGGAACUCGGCAAAAUGACCCCGUAACUUAGGGAUAAGGGGUGCCACCAUCCGGUGGUCGCAGAGAAUAGGCCCAAGCGACUGUUUACCAAAAACAUAGGUUUCUGCUAAGUCGCAAGACGAUGUAUAGGAGCUGACGCCUGCCCGGUGCUGGAAGGUUAAGGGGAUCUGUUAGAGCAAUCGAAGCAGUGAACUUAAGCCCCAGUAAACGGCGGCCGUAACUAUAACGGUCCUAAGGUAGCGAAAUUCCUUGUCGGGUAAGUUCCGACCCGCACGAAAGGCGUAACGAUUUGGGCACUGUCUCAACAACAGACUCGGUGAAAUUGUAAUUCCGGUGAAGAUGCCGGAUACCUGCGACAGGACGGAAAGACCCCAUGGAGCUUUACUGUAGCUUGACAUUGGGUCUUGGUACUACAUGUACAGGAUAGGUGGGAGGCUUUGAAACCAGGACGCCAGUUUUGGCGGAGCCAUCCUUGGGAUACCACCCUUGUAGUACUGGGACUCUAACCAUAGGCCAUGAAUCUGGUCUUGGGACACUGUCAGGUGGGCAGUUUGACUGGGGCGGUCGCCUCCCAAAAGGUAACGGAGGCGCUCAAAGGUUCUCUCAGUACGGUCGGAAAUCGUACGUAGAGUGUAAAGGCAAAAGAGAGCUUGAUUGCAAGACAUACAGGUCGAGCAAGGAUGAAAAUCGGACUUAGUGAUCCGGUGGUUCUGCGUGGAAGGGCCAUCGCUCAACGGAUAAAAGCUACCCUGGGGAUAACAGGCUUAUCUCCCCCAAGAGUCCACAUCGACGGGGAGGUUUGGCACCUCGAUGUCGGCUCAUCACAUCCUGGGGCUGUAGUAGGUCCCAAGGGUUGGGCUGUUCGCCCAUUAAAGUGGUACGCGAGCUGGGUUCAGAACGUCGUGAGACAGUUCGGUCCCUAUCCGUCGCAGGCGUAGGAAAUUUGAGAAGACCUGUCCUUAGUACGAGAGGACCGGGAUGGACG
rnacentral:rRNA from 1 species